ACUAAAGUAGGAAACAAAGAGGGAAAUGAAGAGUCGACUUUUCUCCACAUCGAUUCCUUCGCCAUGGAUGAGUUCUGAGCACCACCCGCCGGAGAAUCGGCUCCUCAAUAUUGCAUUUCUUCAAUUGCUACCAGCUUUUCUCCAAAGAAACUCUAACCUUCAACUCGUCCUGAGCUAAAUCAGUCAGAUCUGGAGAGCUUCAAGUUCCGACUUUGGAAACUAAGGGAGACGAGUUGAUGAGGAAACAAAGAGGGAAAUGGAGAGUCGACUUCUCUCCACAUCGAUUCCUCCGCCAUGGAUGAGUUCCGAGCACCAGUCGUCGGAGAAUCGGAUCCUCAAUAUUGCAUUUCUUCAAUUGCUACUAGCUCUUCUCCAAAGAAACUCUAACCUUCAACUAGUCCGGAGCUAAAUUAGUCAGAUCUGGAGAGCUUCAAGUUCCGACUUUGGAAACUAAGGGAGACGAGUUGAUGAGGAAACAAAGAGGGAAAUGGAGAGUCGACUUCUCUCCACAUCGAUUCCUCCGCCAUGGAUGAGUUCCGAGCACGAGCCACC